rnacentral:rRNA from 2 species
GGAGGAGAAAUCCUCUAGUGGCGGACGGGUGAGUAACGCGUGAGAAUCUGCCUUCAGGUCGGGGACAACAGCUGGAAACGGCUGCUAAGACCCGAUGUGCCGAGAGGUGAAAGAUUUAUCGCCUGAAGAUGAGCUCGCGUCCGAUUAGCUAGUUGGUAGGGUUAUAGCCUACCAAGGCGACGAUCGGUAACUGGUCUGAGAGGACGACCAGUCACACUGGGACUGAGACACGGCCCAGACUCCUACGGGAGGCAGCAGUGGGGAAUUUUCCGCAAUGGGCGAAAGCCUGACGGAGCAAGACCGCGUGAGGGACGAAGGCUCUUGGGUUGUAAACCUCUUUUCUCAGGGAAGAAACCUGACGGUACCUGAGGAAUAAGC